GUGGGGAAUCUUGCGCAAUGGGCGAAAGCCUGACGCAGCCAUGCCGCGUGAAUGAUGAAGGUCUUAGGAUUGUAAAAUUCUUUCACCGGGGACGAUAAUGACGGUACCCGGAGAAGAAGCUCCGGCUAACUUCGUGUCAGCAGCCGCGGUAAUACGAAGGGGGCUAGCGUUGCUCGGAAUUACUGGGCGUAAAGGGCGCGUAGGCGGACAGCUUAGUCAGAGGUGAAAGCCCAGGGCUCAACCUUGGAAUUGCCUUUGAUACUGGCUAUCUUGAGUAUGGAAGAGGUGAGUGGAACUCCGAGUGUAGAGGUGAAAUUCGUAGAUAUUCGGAAGAACACCAGUGGCGAAGGCGACUCACUGGCCCAAUACUGACGCUGAGGCGCGAAAGCGUGGGGAGCAAACAGGAUUAGAAACCCUAGUAGUCC
rnacentral:rRNA from 1 species